UGAGUCAUUUAAGAUUGUUGUUUCUUUGCUGAUUUUUUGUCUAGAGGAUUUAUCCAGUGAUGUCAAUGGGGUAUUAGAGUCCCCUACAAUGAUUGUAUUUUUGUUGAUGUCUUUCUUGAUAUCAUCCAGGAGUUUUUUUAUGAAUUUGGG